AGUAACGUGAUUUACUGGACGACUGCUGUUAUGUAGAUAUUCAUAAAUGUACUAGAUACGCUUGAUAGUACGAAAACCAUUGUAGUAUCUAGUUCCUUUGCUCUAGGAGCCUAAUGACGCAGUACUGACAAAAGUUUUUUUUUUUCUAAUAAAUGCUACGUUCAAGUGCCAAGUCGGAACUAGGAAACUUAAAAAUGUCCGACCGGUGAACGCGAUACGUGUAUAACUUCAAACAGUUAACAAGUCUGAAAUAUCCGAAUUUCCAAGUUCCGACUGGUACAUGAACGCGGCAUAACCCUGUGGUAGGCUACCAUAACUCGAUUUCUUUCACGUCAUCAGUCCCGAACACACCGACUGCGUCAUUGCAUCAAUGCUGCAUAACAUUUUGCACAGCUAGGCGACUAUACUGAUGCAGGUAUCUUUUGCAGACGGUUAGACACAUGGAGGAGAGAAUCAUAAGAAUACUGUAGGAGGAAGUGGAGAGGACUCAGGGACAGGUAUCAGAGAGAGAGAGAAGGUCAGAGAAAGAUACAUCUACAUCAUCGUUCAUCUCUGCUGUGUGACCACCACCGGUGCAGCGAGACCCUCUACAACGUCUACAUCAUCGUUCAUCUCUGCUGUGUGACCACCACCGGUGCAACGAGACCCUCUACAACAUCUACAUCAUCGUUCAUCUCUGCUGUGUGACCACCACCGGUGCAGCGAGACCCUCUACAACGUCUACAUCGUCGUUCAUCUCUGCUGUGUGACCACCACCGGUGCAGCGAGACCCUCUACAACGUCUACAUCGUCGUUCAUCUCUGCUGUGUGACCACCACCGGUGCAGCGAGACCCUCUACAACGUCUACAUCGUCGUUCAUCUCUGCUGUGUGACCACCACUGGUGCAGCGAGACCCUCUACAACGUCUACAUCAUCAUUCAUCUCUGCUGUGUGACCACCACCGGUGCAGCCAUGGAAGAUGAUGAAAUGGAGGAAGCACCUCUGGAUCUGAGAUUGUGACCCUCGAGGAAUCAAGGAAAUGCAACUGAGAUUUUCCAACUGUCCUUAUUCCGCUUGCUUAUGUCCUUGUUAGUAGUUUCUCAAUACAUAGGAUAGCAUUCAUUGUUAGUUGUACAUAGAUUGCGUGAAAAUUGACUGAAUUGACACUGACACACCGGAGUGUGUGUUUACCUGUAUUGUGGCUACACAUUCACAGUUUUUUUUCAGACUCGCACACACCUCUCCUCCACUCCUCUCUGUACCUCAGAUCUCCAGUGCCCUGCCCUUUCCGUCUUUAUGGCCAUGUCGGAAGUUCCCCUACUACGUCUAGGCUUUAUGAGUAGUCCCUGUAUCUGUUUUCAGUUGUGCCAAAAAUACAUGCUCUUGUUGUUCUUACAGAUUACAGGUUACACAUUCGUUUUAGUAUUUUUACACACACACUUUCAAUAGUUUUUAUUUUUUGUAACAUUUUUACAACACACAUACCUGUCAUGUUCUUUCCUGUACUUGAAUAAUUAUUAAUUCUAAUGUUUUCAUA